AUGGCCCACAUAUCAGAUAUUAAACUGAUAAGAACAGAUACUACACUUGAUCUUAGCCAAAAGGCCGAGAAAGGUAUGCUUCUUCCUGUGGCCUGGGUCCUCUUAUAUAGCGCGUCUUCGCCUCCCUUCCGCUCUGGCUGCGCGAGGUGGGACUAA
rnacentral:rRNA from 1 species